AAUUAGUCAAUGGUUGACUGAUCGCUAUCAGGUAAUUUGUGCUUUUGGUUACCUGACUGCGUCUCUUUUCCUAU
rfam:Prosthecochloris sp. CIB 2401, complete genome.